ensembl:lncRNA
UUGUGUGACCGGGGGGGUGUGUGUGUGUGUGUGUGUGUGUGUGUGUGUGUGUGUGUGUGUGUGUGUGUGUGAGUGAGUGAGUCAGUCUAGGGAGUGUGUGCGUCCGACUGCGAGUUCGGAUGCGGUUCGGCCGGUAAUGAGUGGCUCUCAGAUGCCCUCCUUUCGCAUGUCGAGGUGAAACCAGACAGAAUGUCUUAUUUUAGACACUUCUAUUUUCACUGGCUUCCUCUCCCACUCCUUCUCCCAUGUACCUUGGUGUUCCAGCGCGGAGCCCUUGGCAGAUCUUACGCCCCGUGCCGUCCCCGCUGGGUGUCUUGGUUGCGUUUGAAGCAGCACCGUGGUUUCCUUGGCUGCCGUGUCUCAAUGGGACGGGGCCUCCGUUGAGAUUAGACGGAGCCGUUUUCCUCAACUCUGGCUGGCAUUGAUCCCUUUGGCGAGGGCGAAGGACCCUCCACUUUCCUGGUGCUCCACAAUUACUCUCCCACAACGCUGGAUGUGUCACUGGCAGAGAGAGAAGGGCUGUCCAAAUGAAGAUGGAGGACAAGGAGGAAGAGGAGAAUGAGGAGGAGGAAGAGGAGGAGACUGCAGAGGUCGAUGGAAUGAGGAUGUUUCGCUGAGAGAGAGGGAGCGAGAGAGAGAAACAGAGAGCGAGGGGGAGCAAGAAAGAGGGAGAGAGAGAGGGGAGAGGUCCUGGAUAUUGGAUGAGGGCAACGGGGGCCACUACUCUGACAAGAUGUGAAGAGGGUGCUGAUGUGACAGCUUUUCCACCAACACCAGCCCCCCCGCCCCACGCCCACCGCCCCUGCCAUCCCCCUGUACAG